rnacentral:lncRNA from 1 species
AAAACCAUCAACUAAAAAAAUAAAAAUUAACGACAAUUCAAGUAAGAUUUUAUGCAUAUAUUCUAAUUAUGCGACUAAUAAUUUCAAGACUAAUAGCAUAAAUAAAUCCGAAAAAGAUUAUUCCUAUCAAUUAGACGUUGAACGUCUAUCACGCACAUGCCUCUGUCCUCUCCUAGUCGGGGAAUAUUUGUCAAUGCCAUCAUUAGCUUCUUGAAGCAAUUCCACCGCCAUCUGAUGUGCAACUGUACCUUCGGUCACAUGACGACACGAUAUCAACGCCUGUAACUUUCUCGCCAUUCGCCUAAACCUAGCCUGCAUUAUAUUUAUAUACAAAAAU